GAUGUAUCGAAUAACAUGGUUCUUAUUUCUGCAACCCUAUUUCCGGUAACCGAAUGUAUUCGUUUUUUUUCUAGUCGUCUCCUCGGUGGUCGAACGGUGUAGUUAGUUGUAGAGUUUAAUUCGAGAAAGAGCUACGGUUUCCUCAACUCAUAGCUGCUAAACUUUUCAGAUUCGAGUCAUGGGAGACAUGUUGGCGGUCAAUCCAGUGUCAUCACAGUUGCUAAGAUGCAGAGCCAAGGCGCCUGUCAACAGCAGUCAGCUCUGUGCAUGAUAGAUGUAACCUGACUUGGUGACUGUUUAUUGGAUUUCAAUGAAGACUUGUUGCAGUUAUGGGAGCAUGCAGUUAGCUGGUGCCAGGAGAUAUGAAGACGUGACAUUUAGUAUGCGCCCUUAUACUGCAGAAGAGUAAGGUUAAGUAAUUGCCAGUUCCAGGUGCAGUGGAAGAGCGUGCUGACUGCUGUUUGACGGUGCCUCAGAGCUGAGCAUCGCGCCGGCGUCACUGCGGCGCCUCAGCCCGAGCUGAGGCCGUGCUGACUGCUGUUAGACGGUGCCUCAGAGCUGAGCAUCGCGCCGGCGUCACUGCGGCGCCUCAGCCCGAGCUGAGGCCGUGCUGACUGCUGUUUGACGGUGCCUCAGAGCUGAGCAUCGCGCCGGCGUCACUGCGGCGCCUCAGCCCGAGCUGAGGCCGUGCUGACUGCUGUUUGACGGUGGUUUCAGCCCGAGCUGAACUUCUGUCUUUUAGGUGAUAGUUUACCUACCUAGUACCAUAAAUGGUAAAAUAAGUAAUUUCUUAUUCUUAACUAAAUGUUAUUUAAUUUUUGUAUUACUGUCUGUAAUUCAGUUCAUAGUAACCCCCGAAAUUAUUAACCAGAAAAGUAAAAUUUUAAUUUUUUUUAUGAACAAAACAUAAAAUUUCAUAAUUUGGACUUGGUAAUUAUUUAUUGCUGAUUAAUUUUCAUUUAAAUUAAUAAAAAAACGCGCCAAAUGUAUCUUGGGUUUGAGAUUUGUAGUAAAAUAAAUUUUGUGGGUUACUUCGUUAAAAAUCCUAAAACAAGUAAAUGUAUGUCGGAACCGAAUUUCUUUUACUGAAAGCGAAUGUAACAACCUACAAUUAGGUCAUUAGAUUGAAUCGCAACUCAUUAAAUUUUUGUACAUGUUCUUAUUAAAUUUUUUUUAAUUCUCUUCCAUAACCUCUAUUUUUUUUUCUAAAAAUCUACAGCUUAUUAUAUGUACCAUAAUAAUUAUUGAAUAUAAGCCUAAAUUAUUAUUUUU